UACGGAGGGGGCUAGCGUUGUUCGGAAUUACUGGGCGUAAAGAGCGCGUAGGCGGUUUGUAAAGUUGGGAGUGAAAUCCCGAGGCUUAACCUCGGAACUGCUUUCAAAACUCACAAACUGGAGUACGAUAGAGGAUGGUGGAAUUCCUAGUGUAGAGGUGAAAUUCUUAGAUAUUAGGAGGAACACCGGUGGCGAAGGCGGCUCACUGGCUCGUAACUGACGCUCAGGCGCGACAGCGUGGGGAUCAAACAGG
rnacentral:rRNA from 1 species